UUCAAAUGGUCGAUACAUUUCCACACUUACAGACACAGAACAUGUUAUACACACAUUGCAGGAUUUUCUAAGCAAUUAGAAGUCAAACACUAAGCUUUUUGUCAAGGUACCCAAAUGCAGAGUAAGGAAAGAAACUCAAAAAAGGGAAAAUUAACAAAGACUUUACUAAAAAAAGGCAAACACAAACAGGGAACACAAAAGGCCACGAGGGGCAAAAACACAAACUCCAAAAAAUCUAAGAAAAACAGAAAACAAGAGGAGCUCAAAACACAGGCAGGGCAGAACACAGGCAGGCAGAGUACACGGGUAGGUACAUACGGUAAGAAACAAACAUAAAAGAAACGCAAGAAGCUACAUACAGGUAAGGAACAAGCACAAGUCAGGAACAAGCACAAGGAACCAGCACCUGAGCCAAGGGGACAAGGAACUUAAAUAGACAGGGGUAACAAGACACAGGUGAACUCAAAGAACAGUCAAACCAGGGGGAAGGGAAACGAGAGGCAGGUGGGGAGGAUGAUUAAAUAACGAGACAAUAAUAAAAUAAUUUAAAGCAAUAAUAAAAUUAACCAACAGGGGAAUGAGCAGGACACAAAACAGAAGUGCCGCCAUCUGGCGGCCCAACAGGGAAAAACAGACAGAAACACAGAACCAUGACACUUUUAGCACAUGACUCAGACAGACUUUAAAUAAUAUUUAUACUUAGGGGGAAUGUAUGAGAUAUGCUUCUUCAGAAUGAUCAAAUGGUCAAAUCAACAAAGCCAGGUUCACACCAUAAAACUUGAAUAGUUUAUUCUGUGUUUCCUCCUUAUCUACUUCAUUCAUUAUCCUACCGACCACAUCAUAAUCAAUGCUCUUACUUUUCCCUUUGGUCGGUAUCUACUGUGCAUCAACCAAGAACAACACCUGUUCACAGUAGCCAACUUCAGGACACAUAGGUCGAAAAAGUGCCCACGUGAUGCUAUUUCAGCCAGUAAAAUGUGUUCUUUUCUUGCUUGCUUCCAUUAUUUUACAUUGUGGUUAUGUUGAUAAAAGCAGAAGUUGUAUUCUCUAUAAAUGAAAAUCACCUUCUGUGCUAUUACCCCAUCAAUAUGUUUAGCUAGUUGAUCUGGGCCAGUGUAUGAUAGACCACCUAACAGGACCACCUGUCAGGUGUACUGUCAGAUAGUAAGUUAACACCUGCAGUACACAACUAAUGCUGUGUGGCCCUGCUCCAGACUGCCACACAGUGUUAUAUGCAUGUUAUAAUUACGUUACUGAUUCUUAUAGAUAACAUUAUUAUAUGCAUUAGAUAAUUGCCAGAAGUGUCACCUUAACUUCCAUUCUGCUGACUGUUCAGUGACAGUCCACAGAUUAUAUCAGAAACAAUGACUGGUUUUAAGAUAACCACCUGCAUUCUUCUCUUAUUCUGUAUACAUGUUUGGUAAACAAUACAGUCAACUUCUGAAAGGUAUUCUGCAGUUACUUUAUUCAUUAGUUGAAUAUUAUUUUUUAAAUUAUAUCAGAAUGAAUCCAAGUUACAAUUGAAAAUUCAAGGAAUUAGGCAUCCAAGCAGCACUACAAGUGCUGUAAACCUAUUGUUUUUUCUUUCUUUUUUUCUUGGCUUGACCUGUAAUACAUUUUAGCUCAUAAAGCUUGCCAAACAUGUCAGACAUGUUUGGAUGGAUGGAUAAAAUAUAAUACAAAUGUCAAAAUGUAGACAUCUUCAAAAAUGAGCCUCAUGCCCUGUCUUUAUUGGAGUUACACAAUUUGGCACCAAGGCCCCUUUCCACAAAUCUGCCUCAAAGACCCAUAACAUAAUAAUCUUUUGGAAAACCCUUAAAAUGCUAUUUCUUAUACAAACAUUAACCGAUUUUGACAAAAUUGGUCAUACAGCAUCUGUAGACUUACCUCUGUACAACUUAGAUUUAACGUUUCUUGUUAUGUCCAAGGAUGGGUGAAUUUGUCCAAGGAUGGUGUGAAUUUCAAAUGCCUAAUACACUGCCUGUGGUUUGAGAAAAUAUCACACUUGUUGGUGAGAAUACUGACACUCUGGACACAACUUCAAAAAUGACAAAUUGGCUUGAGUGGUGGGACUAAAGUGUUUCCAUUAGUCCCAAUUUUGUCACAGAGAUCUCAAAUUAACCCUAGUAAUGCUCCAAGUGAUUAUCUAUAAGCACAUGAUCCCAGGGUGUAAGCCAUCUUGGAUUGUCUGCCAUUGUCCCUUCCAUUUAAAUUCAGUUGUUAAUAUAAUCAAGUUCUGAGUACUGUCCUCUUACAAUAUUGAUCAUUAACUUGCUUUCUUCCUUAAAAUGUUUGCAAAUUAAUUUACUUCUAGUAUAACAGAAAAUAGGUUUUGCUUUUUCAGGUAUUAUUGAUUUUUUUUCUGGUAUGCAUUCUACGUAUGUUUUU